ACUAAUUGGUAGCUUUUUUACAAAGCACACUACUUAAGCCACGGCAGGCCGAGGGAGACAGCAUGAGCAGAGUUAAUGAGAGGUUUAAUACAAAUAAAGGUCUUAAACUAGGCCUUCCAUGUUUGCAAAAGGGGCCGCAGAAGAAAGUUGAGGAUAUCCUUUUGUCGUAAAUUUCUCCUCUUCUUCUUUUUCCGUGCAGGUAUCUGAAAAGGGGGGACAUUCAAAGGUGGAGGAGAUGUUUGUGAAUUCAAUGCGAAAGACACACUGAAUACAGAAAAGGGAACCCAACUGAGAGGCUAAAGUAAUGAUGCGAACAAGAGAGACACUUGUCAUGAUUAGGGGAGUAUCGUGAGCCGGAGAAUAGGCCACGGGAAGAGAUCAGCCGGAGUGAUGCUGAUGGAUUACUCACAAGCAAGGAUUCCAAAAGAUUAUUAUUAAUUAUUAUUGAUUAUUAUUUUUUUUAUUGAUUUAUUAGUCCUGCAAAGUGCCUUUAAAGUUUAAAAUUAAUUUUAAAAUGUAUUUGAUUUAAAAUAAAUUUCAAUAUUUAAAAUUUAUUUAAAAUUUGUAUUGUUAAAUAAGCAUUUUUGUCAUCAUCAUCAUCAUCAUCAUCAUCAUCUUAUGCUAUUUAAUAUUAUUAUAAAAUGUUUGAUACUAAUCUACUUUUUCACUUCUUUUUGCAUUUAAAAGUUCACAUUUAUAAAUAAGAAAAAUAUACAUUUUUAGAUGCUGUUUUCUAUUAUUAUUAUUAUUAAUAAUAAUAAUAAUAAUACUAAUAAAAAUAAUAAUAAAUAUAUUUACACUAUUUUUAAUCCCCAAUUAGAUUUCUUUUUUGAAGUUCAAUUAUAGUCCUGCAAAGAUUUUUUUUUAUUAUUAUUAUUAUUAUUUAAUGCAUGUAUAAUAAUAAAUAUGAAAUAACCAAUAAAGGUGUUGUGGGUGGUUUUCAGGGAGUUACUAUGUGGUUAAUAUGGUGUUCUGUUUCCAAGGUUCAUGGUUUUUUUUAUUUGUCACAUACACAUGUAUUUGUCAGAUAAGGCACCUCUGUCAUCUCUCUCUAUCAAUGCAAGUGUAAUGAAUAGCACUUCUCUUUUCAACAAGCCAUGUGUUGUGAGGAAGUGUAUACUUCAUGAUUGUAGCACAAAUGGUACAGGACAAGUUACUUAUGGAUGUUUGACAUAUAGUUUUGGGUUAAUUCAAAUAUCUAAUCCUUAUGUAGACAAAAUAAUGAACAAAAGCACAAGGAAGUAUAAAAAUGCAGUUUAAAAUAGUUCUAGAUGGAGUUUAGCCUGUCACUCUGCUUUGCUGUAUCAGCUGUGUGUAUGUCAGUGUAAAUUAUCCACUUUUGAUCAACAUAAAAAAUAUUUUUUCUACUCUUAUAUGUAACAAAACACAAUUUGCGCCCCCCACUUUCUUUUAGCUGUGUCAGGGUCAGCUGAUGUUAACCUUAGAGUGAGGUCAUCCCCUCAUUAGCCCUCGGCUAUUAGCAUAGAAAGUGAAUGGUGUGGGAUUAUAACAGACCCCCAUCAAGUCCUGCUGUGGGUUUGGGAUGCCCCUAUGAAAAAGACACCUCAGGAGCCCCUGCUCUCCAUUUGGCUCUGAUCCCUUCCACAUGGUGCUAGUGCUGCAUUACCACUGACCUGAGAGCAGGGGGUCGAUCAUUGGUCAGAAUGACAGGGUGGCAUCUACCUGAUGCAGUCCACAGUGAGAGAUCACACCAACCAUGCAAUCUCAUAAAGAUAGCACUCAUUAAGACCUUAAUUACAGGUUCUCCAGCAGGAUAAGAUGAUGUGCUGAGAGUCUUUUGUUCUGUCAAUCAAGGUGUGUGUACUGAGAAGAGCAGGAAAGACAGUAAGGAAGUUUUCUUAUCCGAAGCUUUAUAGCACAUAACUUCCUGUUGAAUGCUUUGAUACAGCACUGUAAAGAACUGUGAAUAUAUAUGUGUAAAUUGUGCAUGACUUCUGUACCAUAUAAUAUAUUAUUCAAAAUUAAAAAAACAAAAAAACAUUAAAAAACCUUUGACUAGGAAAAGUAAAUAUACGUAGCACUAAAUAUACAUGUACGUAUUUACACACACAAAUAUAUAUAUAUGUGUGUGUGUGUGUGUGUGUGUGUGUGUGUGUGUAUGUAUACAUGUAUAUGUGUGUGUGUAAAUGUGUAUAUAUAAAGUAUAUAUAAAGUAUGAUUAAUAAUUUAUUUUAUGUAAUAUACAUAUGGUGUGUGU
ensembl:lncRNA